rnacentral:lncRNA from 10 species
AUCACUCUGGUAGCCAGUGCAGAGAAAUCCAGUGCAGAGAGGGUAACGUUGGAGCAAGAGAACCCAGUGGGGCUCCUGAGAUACUGCCUGACACCAGAUUGUGAGGCCUGAAUUAAGCUGGUGACAGCAGAGAUGGAGGGCACAGAUACGAAAUAUAUCAGGAAGUAAAAUCAGUAGGAAUCAAUAACUGCUGAAAUAUUAUAGGGAGAAAGGAAUGGGGGUGGCGUGUAGUCAAAGACGGUGGUCGGCACUGAUGGGCCAUUCCACCUCCCUUUUGCUCCAG